UAUAUCUCCACUCUUCUAUGCAUGUUUAGACUUUUCUAUAAAAGAAAUUAUAUAUGGUUAGAGGUAUUAUUGUUUUAUUAGUUUUAUUAUUAUUGGCUUUUUGGUUAAGUAUUGGCUUUCUCUUUGAAACCACACAUACAUCCCCAAACACCUCUAGUGUGCAACACUGCAUGCUUCUUUUUUUUGGAGGCGAUGCUAAUGCGGAUGCUGAGUGUUUUUAUCUGACAAAUUCAGUUGGUGAUUCUUUUUAUGACGUAUAACAUUAUCCAUUGCGUAUUUACCUCUGUUGGAAGCUGCCUGUGUGCUUAUUUUGAAGAAUCAACUGAAGAGUAAUAGGAAAUGACAAUUCUAGCAAAAGACAAAACCUUGUGAGCUGAUGCAGCAAAAGGGAGAAAUGGGGAAAGGGGCAGAUAUUAAGAAAGAAAAAACAGAACAACGGGAGACAACGAGAGAAAA